AGGGAAUCUUCCGCAAUGGACGAAAGUCUGACGGAGCAACGCCGCGUGAGUGAUGAAGGUUUUCGGAUCGUAAAGCUCUGUUGCCAGGGAAGAACGUCCGUUAGAGUAACUGCUAACGGAGUGACGGUACCUGAGAAGAAAGCCCCGGCUAACUACGUGCCAGCAGCCGCGGUAAUACGUAGGGGGCGAGCGUUGUCCGGAACUAUUGGGCGUAAAGCGCGCGCAGGCGGCUGUUUAAGUCUGGUGGUUAAUCCUGGGGCUAAACCCUAGGUCGCACUGGAAACUGGGCAGCUUGAGUGCAGAAGAGGAGAGUGGAAUUCCACGUGUAGCGGUGAAAUGCGUAGAGAUGUGGAGGAACACCAGUGGCGAAGGCGACUCUCUGGGCUGUAACUGACGCUGAGGCGCGAAAGCGUGGGGAGCAAAC
rnacentral:rRNA from 1 species